UUCCGGUUGAUCCUGCCGGACCUGACUGCUAUCGGAUUGAUACUAAGCCAUGCGAGUCAUUGUAGCAAUACAAGGCAGACGGCUCAGUAACGCGUAGUCAACCUGCCCUAUGGACGGAAAUAACCUCGGGAAACUGAGUAUAAUGUCCGAUAGAACACUAUACCUGGAAUGGUUUGUGUUCCAAAUGAUUUAUCGCCAUAGGAUGGGACUGCGGCCUAUCAGUUUGUUGGUGAGGUAAUGGCCCACCAAGACUAUUACAGGUACGGGCUCUGAGAGGAGUGGCCCGGAGAUGGGUACUGAGACACGGACCCAGGCCCUAUGGGGCGCAGCAGGCGAGAAAACUUUGCAAUGUGCGAAAGCACGACAAGGUUAAUCCGAGUGGUUUGUGCUAAACGAACCUUUUGUCAGUCCUAGAAACACUAACGAAUAAGGGGUGGGCAAGUUCUGGUGUCAGCCGCCGCGGUAAAACCAGCACCUCAAGUGGUCAGGAUGAUUAUUGGGCCUAAAGCAUCCGUAGCCGGCUCUGUAAGUUUUCGGUUAAAUCUGUACGCUUAACGUACAGGCUGCCGGGAAUACUGCAGAGCUAGGGAGUGGGAGAGGUAGACGGUACUCGGUAGGAAGGGGUAAAAUCCUUUGAUCUAUUGAUGACCACCUGUGGCGAAGGCGGUCUACCAGAACACGUCCGACGGUGAGGGAUGAAAGCUGGGGGAGCAAACCGGAUUAGAUACCCGGGUAGUCCCAGCUGUAAACUAUGCAAACUCAGUGAUGCAUUGACUUGUGGUCAAUGCAGUGCUGCAGGGAAGCCGUUAAGUUUGCCGCCUGGGAAGUACGUACGCAAGUAUGAAACUUAAAGGAAUUGGCGGGGGAGCACCACAAGGGGUGAAGCCUGCGGUUCAAUUGGAUUCAACGCCGGA
rnacentral:rRNA from 1 species